rnacentral:rRNA from 1 species
UACGUAGGGGGCUAGCGUUGUCCGGAAUCAUUGGGCGUAAAGCGCGUGUAGGCGGCCACACAGGUCUGCUGUGAAAACUCGAGGCUCAACCUCGAGCUGUCGGUGGAAACCUGUGGCUAGAGUCCGGAAGAGGAGAGUGGAAUUCCCGGUGUAGCGGUGAAAUGCGCAGAUAUCGGGAAGAACACCCGUGGCGAAGGCGGCUCUCUGGGACGGUACUGACGCUGAGACGCGGAAAGCGUGGGGGAGCGAACAGG